rnacentral:rRNA from 1 species
UACAGAGGUCUCAAGCGUUGUUCGGAUUCAUUGGGCGUAAAGGGCGCGUAGGCGGCAAGGCAAGUCGGGUGUGAAAGCUUGGGGCUUAACCCCGAAAGGGCACUCGAAACUGCCCUGCUAGAGGGCCGGAGAGGAGAUCGGAAUUCACGGUGUAGCAGUGAAAUGCGUAGAUAUCGUAAGGAAGGCCGGUGGCGAAAGCGAGCCUCUGGACAGUUACUGACGCUGAUGCACGAAGGCCAGGGGAGCAAACGGG